CAUCCGUUCCGACGGUUCCGUACAGUCAAACGUGGUAAUCGUGAGGGAAUCUUUUGGCUGUCGGUAGGUGGCUAAAAUGGUUUGUCCCCCAGCCACCAGGUGACGCGAGUGUCUUCGUGAGGACGAUAAAUUUGUCAUUUGUUUCCGAAACGCUGACUGAAAGUGUAUCAUUCAUUACGGAAUUGCGGUGUCGAUAUACAUUUUAAGCCAUGAAAUGGGAAUCUGGCAUAUAAUUUUACUUGGCCAAAUAAUGUGACGACGUGGGUCGAAACUGCUGUCCAUUUCACCGAAAUGUCGGCCAUUGUUAGCUGUACCUACACGGCUGUACGUCUCAUCUCGUGCUAAAACACUUCAGACCUAUUGAUGUCCAGGUUGGAGAUCCCUUCGCUCAACUGUUGCAGAAAUUGAGAACAUGAGAAAGUCUGAGCUUCAUGGCUGUUGUAUCAUCAUCGUGGUUUUGUUUCAUUCAUGAGGUGGGAAAAGUGUGAUCGAGUCAAGUUGAGCUGCAGCUGCUGCAUGAAGUUAAUCAAACUGUUGUUAUUCCUAUUGUCACAGCAGGAAGACUUCUUGAAUCGGUAAUUUGAUUGAUGUUAUUGGUUGUAACU
rnacentral:lncRNA from 1 species